UGAGCAAUCUGCCCUUCUCUUCGGAAUAAGCGUUGGAAACGACGUCUAAUGCCGAAUACGACCUCCUUUCACAUGAUCGGAGGUGGAAAGCUCCGGCGGAGAAGGAUGAGCUCGCGGCCUAUCAGCUGGUUGGUGUGGGUAACGGCCCGCCAAGGCGACGACGGGUAGCCGGUCUGAGAGGGCGAUCGGCCACACUGGGACUGAGACACGGCCCAGACCUCCGUACGGGAGGNAGCG
rnacentral:rRNA from 1 species